rnacentral:rRNA from 1 species
AGAGUGAACGCUGGCGGCAGGCCUAAUACAUGCAAGUCGAACGGCAGCACGGCAGAGCUUGCUCUGUGGGUGGCGAGUGGCGGACGGGUGAGGAAUACAUGGGAAUCUGCCCAGUCGUGGGGGAUAACGUAGGGAAACUUACGCUAAUACCGCAUGCGCCCUUCGGGGGAAAGCCGGGGACCUUCGGGCCUGGCGCGAUUGGAUGAGCCCAUGUCGGAUUAGCUAGUUGGUGAGGUAAUGGCUCCCCACAAGGCGACGAUCCGUAACUGGUCUGAGAGGAUGAUCAGUCACACUGGAACUGAGACACGGUCCAGACUCCUACGGGAGCAGCAGUGGGGAAUAGUUGGACAAGUGGGACGAAAGCCUGAUCCAGCCAUGCCGCGUGUGUAGAAGAAGGUCUUACGGAUUUGUAAAAGCUAACUUUUAAGGUUGGGAAGGAAGGGCUAAGUAAAUUAAUACUUUGCUUGUUUGACGUUACGACAGAAUAGCACCGUCUAACU